UACAUGUCAUUAUAACCAGAAUCAAAUCAUCCAAAAUUACCAAUAGAACCAAUGGAUAGUGUGAUAUAACUCUGACAAGCUUACAAGCUGUUCGAGCUUCCGAUAAUCUGUAGGGUAAAUAAAAACAAAUAUGUAAGUAAUGAAUGCUUAGUAAGCUCGUGUAGUCUUUAAUCAUAUUAAUUCAUUUUUGUACAUAUAAAGAAUAACCCAAUAUUGAUACCACAAUACUAAUGAAGUUACAUUCAUCAAUUCACAAGGUGAAUAAAUCCACAAUAUCAGUUAUACAUAUUAUCAAAAGCUUAGUAGGAUUUUAUAUAACUUUAACUCUUCCAAAUUUCUUUAUUUUCAUUUGCAUUUCUUUACUUUCCACACUUAUUCCAUAAGCAUGACACACAAGUCAUAAACAUAUCAUUCAACCAUAGUCACAAGCUAGUGCAUUUAACCAAAGCCUUUUUUGAAUUGAUUACAUGACAAUCAUUUCAUAAGAUAAUUUAAACCUUACCACUCUUUUAUAAGCACUAGCAUAUUUUCACUUAAAUACUUACCAAUUCAAUGCAUCAUAUAAAUAAACAUAUUACCAUUCAACCAAUAGCUUGGCACUCGCCUAAGCAUCAAGCAACAACACUAGUUAGCGUACUUGCACAUAUUACAUAUAAAUCCAACAUUGAUAAACUUAUUUUCUCGACAUGUCACACUUGAGUUUAUUACUCGUCUCAACAUACAUAAUUUCCUUGAAUCAACACAUCGAAGAUAGUUGCAUAUUUACAUGUCAUGAUACAUAUCAUUCUCUUACCGUUUCUUCAUAAACAUAUUUCAUUCAUUUCAUUAUAUCAAUAUUUCAUUUACCACCAUUUUCAUGAAUUUUGUGUAUAUUUAUUCCGGUAACAGUUCAUAAUCAUGAAUAUACAUAAUUAUCAGGCAAGUUUCAUAGACAUGUAUUUUCCAUGUCAUGUUUCAAUAUAUCAAAUAAAUAUCAUUUCCAUGUAUUUCAGGUAUAUACCGGUAAUAGUUUAUUUUGAACUCAUGUUAUCCCAUAUCAGAACUUUACCUGUUGAAUCAUUUAAAAUUUUGAUGGAUACAAGGAUAGUACACAUGAAGUGUAUGAAUCUGAAAUCCGUCAGUUCAUAUUCAAGGGUGCUCAUUUGAGCACAUAAUCGAGAAGCUCUCUCUUGAGCCAUAUAACAGGAAGCUCAUGUGAGCCAUUAAUGGGAAGCUUAUUCGGGCUAUAUAACGAGAAGCUCAUAAGAGCCAUAAUCGAAAAGCUCAUGCGAGCUAAUAACGGGUAGCUCUGAAGAGCCAUUAAUGGGAAGCUCCAAAUAGCCAUAUAUCGAGAAGUUCGAGUGAGUCAUAUUGAGAAGCUCCGGAGAGCCAUUAAUCAAGAAGCUCACAAAGAACCUUUUAAUUGGGAAGCUCACGAAGAGCCAUAUAUCGGGGCGCUCAUAAGAGCUGUGGUGUGUCUACAACACAUGCAAAGUCAUAACCAAUCGGGAUGCUUUGAAGAGCUAUUAACGGGAAGCUCGCAAGAACUAUAUAACGAGAAGCUUGAGAGAGCCAAAUAUCAGGAUGCUGUUUCGAGUUGUGGUGUGUCCGCAACAUAUGCAAGACCACAACCAAUUCGGGAACUUAGUAUCCAUCGAAUUUUAUUAUUUCAAACGGGACUUUAUAUUUAUCAAACAUCAUUGGAUAUGUGAUCAAUUUCAUAUAUAUGACAUUUACAAAAAUUCUCAAAUACAACAUUCAAUUCAAACAUAUAAAUAUACAAAAUUUAGUUACACGAACUUACCUGGCUAAAUUGUAGAAAUACCAAGAUUCAAGGGUAUUUUGGCAAUUUUCCAUUUUCUUCGAUUUUCCACCCGAUCUUAAUACGAAGCAAAAUUGAAGAACCAGGUCAAGGAGCUCUCCCAUGUCUAUUUUUAAACCGAAAUUAAGAAAGAAAUGUCUAGAAAACUCUUUAAAUCUAAUUUGUUUACUUUUAAUUUUAACUUAUUUACCAUUUUGCCAUUGAAUGGGAUUUUUUUUUAUUUUCCAUCCUUAUGCCACCUUGCCCUUUUAAUUUUGGCAUAAUUAUACCUUAAGUCCUCCCUCAUUUAUUAAUUAAGCCAUUUAGUCAUUUUAUUAUUAUAAUUAGCAAGUUUUGUACCUUUUUUAAUUUAGUCCUUUUUAAUUAAUUAACUGUCAAAACAUUAAAAAUUUUCAAUGAAACUUCAAUACUACCUUAAUGACAUUUUUUAAAUAUUUAUAAAAAUAUUUACAGCUCAGUUUAUAGAAACGAGGUCUCGUUACCUCAUUUUCUAAAACCACUUGAACUAGGAUUUUAUCACUCAAACGUAAUAAUUCAUUAUAAGACAUAAAUUAUUAAUUAAAAAAUCUUUUUAAAACCAUAUUUGACUCAUAAAUAUUAAAUAAUAAAAUUUAUGAGCUUACUCACCAGAUUUUGUGGUCUCGAACCAUUGUUUUCAACACCACUGAAAAUCGGGCUAUUACAUAAAACCAAUAGGGUGUAAGUGGAUCUACAAAAGGAAAAGAAAUGCAGAUGGAAAAGUGGAAACCUAUUAGGCCAAACUUGUAGCAAAAGUUUAUAUUUAGAAAGAAGGUGUCGAUUACAAAGAAACCUUCUCUCCGAUUGUCAUGCUCAAGUCAAUUUGCAUAUUACUACCCAUUGCGACAGCUUUCGAUUAUGAGAUUUGGAAAAUGGAUGUCAAGACAACAUUUUUGAAUGGCUAUCCUGAAGAGAGCAUCUACAUGAUACAACCCAUCAGAUAUAUAGCUAAAGAAAAACAGUAUAAAGUUUGCAAAUUUCUUAGAUCCGUAUAUGGAAUUAAGCAGGUAUCCCGCUCAUAGAAUCAAAGAUUUGAUUAAGCGAUCAAGACUUUUGGAUUUGAGCAAAAUGUAGAUGAACCUUGUGUUUACAAACAUUUAGGGAAUGGAAAUGUGGUCUUUCUCGUUCUAUAUGUCGAUGACAUUCUAUUCAUUGGAAAUGAUGUAGGGAUAUUGUUAUCAGUUAAACUGUGGUUAACCCAACAAUUUAACAUGGAGGACUUGGGAGAAGCUGAUUUUGUUAUAGGUAAUCUAAUCUUAAGGGAUUGAAAGAACAAAGUGAUAGAAUUAUCUCAGGCUUCAUACAUGGAUAAGAUAUUUGAGCGUUAUGCAAUGACCGAUUCGAAGAAGGGAAAUCAACAUUCUGUAACGAGGUUUCAUAUCUCUGUAGAGGACUGUCCUAACACAGCGAAAGAAAGAGAAAACAUGAGAAAGGUUCAUUAUGCUUCGGCAAUAGGAAGUCUCAUGUAUACUAUGCCAUACACACGCCUAGAUAUCUGCUUUCUAGUGGAGUUGGUAAGUCGAUAUCAGACAAAUCUAGGACCAAGGUACUGGCAAACAAUUAAGCAUAUACUUAAGUAUUUACGGAGAACGAGGGAUUAUAUUCUUGUGUAUUCCAGAGAAGAACUUACUCCUAUCGAAUAUACUGAUUCUGACUUCCAAACGUGUCAGGAUUCAAGGAAAUCAACAUCGGACUGUGUUUUUUUUCCUAAACAGCGGGUCCAUAACGUGAAUAAGUGUCAAGCAGGGUUACAAUGCUAACUUCAUUGUGGAAGACCGAAUAUGAGGUAUGAAAAAGUUAUAGCACUAUAAUAGUGCAAAUAUAGCUAAACCUGAAAGAAACCACAUAAGGAUAAAACACGUUAAGGGAGACGAAAGUGUUUGCUAAAAUAGUGGAUGUAGUCAAAAUAUCGCAUCUGAGGACAAAUCUUGGGGAUUUGUUUAGCCAAGACUCUUAUAGCUAGAGAGAUCUUUGGGAAACAUAUGGAGGGCAUAAGAAUACGAAACAUGACUCAUCUAGUUCACUAGGGCAAGUGGGAAACUGUUGGAUCUGGUGUCCUAAGUGUAGUAUUUUCGUCAAUAUACACUUGUAUUUUUUUCUGAACAGAUUGGUUAAUAAAAAAGAUUCAUUGAUUACAUCAAUAUACUUUGUAUAAUUUUCCUCACAUGGUUUUUGCAUGCAAAGAAAAAUAGAAGAAAAUGUUGCUCAUUGGUUGUCUAAAUUUUUAACUAAUACUAAACGAAUAUUAUGUAGUCAGAUCGUCGUAGAGAAAGGUAACUUGUAUUAGUAGAUGAACCUAAACAUGUACUUAUAGUCUAAUAAAAAAUGAGCAAAUCAAUUGAAAGACUAAUAUGUCGUCUAUCAAGUCCAAUUAGGGAGAUGUCUUGUCUUGGGCAUCAGAGCGGAUGACUCCUAGAAGAUAAAGAUAUAUAUGUGACUGACUGGAUUGACAAUACAUCGGACAUGAUCCAAGCAGAAUAGAUCCUGAAUCCGUUAAUGGAUUUAUUCACUUGUGACGUUCAUAGUGUGACAUACCUAAAUCCUGAGUAGAUAGCGGACUAUGUAUGUAUGACCCGUACACUUUGAUGUAAGUAAAAGUCUGAGUUCAAAUAGAUAAGGAACUAAAAGCUGGUGAGUUGGGUGUACGACUUCUGUAGUAUGUAACGUCAUUCACAAUAGUAGAAUUCAUAGCCCAAAACAUGGGUAAAUGAUAUCCUCUCAUUGGAAUUACAUGGUUGAUGAAAGUAAACAUGGUCACGGGUCGUCCGUCUUUGUGAUGGAUAACUUGAUCACUAUUUGAUAAUGAUUGACUUUUCAUGAAAGAAGAUGUAAUGGUUACCAUGAGAUAAAAUAUGAGCAUAUUGGGAGAAUGAAUAUUAUCCUAAAUAGACCAAAUAUAUCCUAUGAGGGUAACACACUUAUGACAAGGACAUUGAGUAGUUGCUUUCAUAAUGGUAUGUCGUUAGGGAGAACUCAGUACGAUACUAUAGUUGAAUGACUUCAAGACUAAAUGAGUUUAUAAUUAAUAGGCGAAAAGCCGAAACCUAAUUAUAAAUCAUUUGAGCCUCAACUACAUAUGUCCAAUCGGUCCCUCCGCUAGCUUAUUGAAACUAGAAAUGAAUUGCAUGUUUGAAUAGAAAUGAACAUAAUGAAUAGAAAAAGAGAAAUAAGAAACAUUCAAGAAUGAUUAUAGUUUUCUCCGAAAUGGAAAAUGGAAUCAUUUGGAAAUGAAUGUAGAUUUCCAAAAAUGAAAAUGAAAAUGAAAAUGAAAAUGGAAAUAGAAACGAGGUCCCAAAAUUGCAAUUUUUGACACCACUGGAAACUGGGUCGUUACACAAAUAGAUAACGUCACAUUUGAUACCUAUGCUUUCAUGAAACGUCCAAUGGUACCUAUACUUUAAAAAUGUCUAAUGUGGUACCUAAACUAUCAAUAUAUGUUUUAUUAUGGUACUUGUACUUUUAUAAAAUAUUCAAUAUGAUACGUAUACUUUGAAAAUAUCCAAUGUGGUACCCAAACUAUCAAUAUGUGUUUUAUUAUGCUACAUGAUAUUAACAUCGUUAGUGAAUUGCUAAACCACCCAAUGAAAAUUUGACAUAAAUUUUCUUUUCAAACCAUUAAGUUGACAUAGAUAAUAUAAUAUUAUAUGAAAAAAAUUAAAUAAAACAAAGGGAUAAUGGCACCAUUGGCCUUGUACUUUAGGGUUUGUUCUAAUGUGGCCCCUAAACUUUCAAAAUGUGAAUCUGGACAAUUGUAUGUCCAAUUUCAUUCUAGACUUAACUUUUAAAUGGUUUUUAUUAAAUUUUAAUUGCUUUUGAACUUUAUUUAAUAUUUUUAUAAAAUUUAAUAAUUUUUUAUAAAUUUAUAUUUUAAAAAAAUAUUUUUUAAAUUUUUUUAAAAGAAAUUAAGCUUUAAGGUGAAUAAACGUAGACAACCAUAUGUACAGGUUCAUUCCAGUGAAAAAAAUUAAAUAUUCCUUUUAAUUUUUUAAUUUUUUUGUUGACCAGUGCCACGUCAGCAACUAUUACUGACAUAAAGUAUCACAUCAACACCGUUAGCAACCAAAAUAGCGUUGUACCGAGCAAUGUUAAUCAAAGGGCCUAUUUGGCUAAAAUUAUUAAUUUAGGGUUCAAUUGGGUGCAAAAAGGUCAUAGAGCCUUAAUUGAUUUUUUCAAAAAAGUUUGAGAAACUUUUAAACCAUUAAAAAAAAAAAAACCAAAGUGUCCUUAACUAUGGUCAAAACAUGGCAAUUAAGCCUUAGCUUAUACAAUAUCUAUUGCAACAACAAAGAGGAUAUGAGAUCAAACACAUUAUUUAUCCUUAAGGAUUAAUAAAAGGGUAAACUACAUUAAGGUCAUUAAACUAUUAAUAAGUUUACGAUUUGGUCACUUAAUUUCAAAAAGUUACCAAAUAAUCACUAAAUUAUUCGAAAUUAGCCUAUUAAAAUCUUCCUUGUAUACACUAAUUGAAAGGAUAAGCUUCUCCUCCUCUUCUAUAAUUUAGGUUUUUUUUCAUAAAAUAAAUUUAAAUGUUAUGAAAUUACGAACCAAAAUUUGAAUAGUUUUUUUCUUCGAUCUUCAACAUCACUAACCAAAUCAACUUGAAUUUGAUAUAUGUUCAUCUACUUACCGAUGAAUACUAUUCUAUCGUAUUGAAUAGUCGUUGGUUGAAGCUCACUAAUUGAACUUUAAAAAAAAAAAAUUCAAACAAUUUAGUAAGUAUUUUAUAACUUUUUUGAAGCCAAGUUGAAUGCAUAAACAAAUGAACAAAAUGCAAAUACUCAAAAACAGUCCUUAAACAUUUUCAAAUUAUCCCAAAAAAAGAAAAACGCUCUAAAGAAAAUUGGUUAAAACCCUAAAAACUCUGGAUCAAUUUGGAAAGAAGAGAAGAAGAAGAAACUUGUUGAAUAUAAUCAAUGGCGAAUCUUCCAAUCGUGCAAUUCGAGAAGAAGAUAGAAGAAACAGUGGACCAAAAUCCAGUGGUGGUGAUCAUAGGAGAGACCGGUUCGGGAAAGAGCACGCAGCUCUCUCAGAUGCUCCACCGCAAAGGAUACACAAAUUCCGGAAUCGUUGCCGUCACUCAGCCCCGUCGCGUCGCAGCCGUAUCUGUUUCCAGGUACUGUUCCAAAGCAAACUAGGAACUGGAAUGCUUUAGGAAUUCGAAACAUGUAAUUUUUGCUGAUACUUAGGCGUUUUGUCGUUCAAGGAAAUUGAAUAAAUCCUUUUAUUCUAACUAUUUUAUGCGCUUAGGCGAGUUGCGCAGGAGCUUGGUGUUCGGCUUGGGGAAGAAGUAGGCUAUGCUAUUCGGUUUGAAGAUAGAACUUCCGAAAGAACACAAAUCAAGUAAUACAUUUUAGCUUAAUUAGUAUAGUUUUCAGUUUCAGUGCGUGUUGUUGCUGGAAUUGCAAUUGCCAAGUUUAUUGGUUUCUUAGCUAUGGUGUUGUAGAUACCUUACUGAUGGAGUGCUUCUUCGAGAAAGUCUGUCAAAUCCGGAACUGAAUCAGUAUUCUGUUAUUAUUCUGGACGAGGCUCAUGAGAGGAGUUUGAAUACGUAAGAAUCACCUUGUAUGCUGUUUCUAUUAUCUAUACCUUGGUUGUGUCCUUUUCAUUUUGUUGAUGCUGUACUUAUAGAAUCUUAAAUUUCUCAGGGAUAUUUUGCUGGGGUUGAUGAAACGCUUGGUUAAAAGACGUGCAUCCAAUUUAAAAGUUCUGAUCACAUCGGCAACCCUUGAUGGUGAAAAAGUGUCGAAGUUCUUUUCAGAUUGUCCCUUGUUGACUGUCCCUGGAAAAUUAUUUCCUGUGGAAAUAUUCUACAGCAAGGAGCGACCUACAAGCUAUCUUGAGUCUUCACUAAAAACAGCUAUGGGUAUGGUGUGAGUUUAUCUUUAUCACAUAUUCAGUUGUUGCAAGCUUUUAUUAUGUAUAUAUGCUGGCCAGUCCUUGUUGUUUAGCUAGGCUUGUGAUGUGGUUGCUUUCAUGCCCAGAUUUGCUGUAGUUACAUGGUUAUGUAGAAAGAAGUACUAAGAUUUUUUGGUUCCUUGUAUGAUGAACCCCUCUGGCAUCCAUUAAGAAUUUAUUGAUAAAUAAUUUUUUUGAUGUACUUUAGUCGUGCAACUAAAUGUCUAAGGCGUUAAGACACAAUUCCCAUCAGUUGUACCUUAAUUGAGUUGCAGGGAAAACUUUGGGUUUCUGGAUUUCCUGGCUAUCGUAUUUUGGUCAUAUGAGAUCUUACUAAGCAAUGGUUUUCGCAGAUAUACAUGUUCGGGAACCAGAAGGUGACAUCUUAAUAUUCAUGACUGGACAGGCAAGCUUUCUCUCUCUCUCUUUUCUCUCUCACUUCUUGGGGUGGCAUUCUUUGCGGAUUUAACUUCUAUCUUUUUCGUGGUUAUAACAUUGAUUCAUUGAUGAUUUUAACUGAUUCUUUUAAAGUAGAGUGGCCAUUUAUAGGAUGAUAUAGAGAAGUUGGUAUCAAAGCUGGAAGAUAAAGUUCGAAGUCUAGAGGAAGGCUCCUGCAUGGAUGCUAUCAUUCUUCCUCUCCAUGGUUCAUUGCCACCUGAAAUGCAGGUAUAGUUUUGUCUCAAAUUUUCUUUUCAUCUCUGCCUCCUUUGCCCCAUGGGAAAUGAAAUUAACUUAAGCUAGAUUGUCUUGAGAUGCAGAUAUUAGUAUUGAAUUUCCGUUGUUUUGUGGCUGACAUUUUUUUGGCUAUGACCCAACAGGUGCGUGUAUUCAGUCCUCCCCCUCCAAACUGUAGGCGUUUUAUUGUUGCCACAAACAUAGCUGAAACUUCUUUGACAGUUGAUGGUGUUGUGUAAGGAAACUUGAUACUUGUAAAUGUUGCUUGUCAGUGCUUUCUUUUGUUCUGUUAAUUUAAUUUCCACAAUUUGACCCCCCGCCUUGCCCAAAUUACUUGUUUCUACUCCAAUUCUUCUUUUACAUCUUGAUAGGCUUGAUCAGGUUAAAACUUUCUUAACCUGGGUGGAGAGGUUUUAGCAUCCACUAUUUAAAAUUUCUACCUGUUCACAUGUUAUUAGAGAAUCUGAGCAUGCACUGAUAAGUUGGCUUUAUGGUGAUGUAAUUUCCUUAGAAUCAUUGCAAAUAUCAGUGACUUUUUAUCUGUUGCAACACUUUUGACUGAUUCUUCUAUGGAGAUGGAGAGCAUUAAAGUCAAAGAGUAUUAGGUUCAGGUUGUUGUCAGUCUUGCUCUUCUUUUAAUUUUUUAAUCCUCCUGAAUAGAAGACGGUGUAGAUAAUGAAGUAAAUGAGUGUUAAUAAUAUGUAAAAUAGCCCUCAAUUUUGGUCUUUAUAAACCAGCAUUUUCUUUAUUAAUUUGCCUAGAUCAUGCGAAUACUUCUGCUUUUAGCAAACCAAUUACCCUGUCAUGGUUAUGUAGGUUUAACAAAAUGACCAAAUAUAAACCAAGAAGCACUGCAGUCCUUGGUUUCCAUGUCCAAAAUAAUCUAGUAAAAUAGAGACAUAACAGAGACAAGGCUAUUCUGAAAUUCUAGUGGAGGGCUUUUGUUUUAUAUAUGUAAUUAUAUAAGGGAUCAAACAUAUCAAUGGUAGAGUGUUUCUUAAUUGUUCCAAUCAAAUCACAGUGUUUUAGUUUAGUUUACUAUCUUGUUCCUGUUGCUUCUUAAUUUUACGAUUUUCUACCUUGAGGAAGGCACUGAAAUUUGGUCUUAAGGGUCCCACUACUCGUUAAGACCUGUAUAUGGUCCAAUGGUAACUAUAUUAUUGUGAUGCAUUGUACUGUAUGCGUAAUUCUACCACCUGUUUUUGCACUUGGUCUCAGUUAAUGAUCAAUUGCAUUGAUAUUUUGAUUGCUUCUCUCGAAAGUAAUUAUCUGUACAUUGAUAGGUAUGUUAUUGAUUCUGGUUAUGUGAAGCAACGGCAAUAUAACCCAGCAACUGGAAUGUAUUCCCUUGAUGUUGUUCAAAUUAGCAAGUAAGUGGAUGACUUAAUGUUUCUUUUGGCUUUUGCAGCAUGUUCAGGUGUUCCUAGUAGCACAACUUACAGUUGUGAUUCUUUUUGGUCUUUAUUUGUUUGCAAGUUCAGGUUUUCUUGCAUGAUCUAAGUUUUACUCUUAUUUUGCAUCGAACAAAUUUAUGUUCUUACCUUUCUUUUCUCACUUGAGUGAUGAUGAAUUGUUAGUAUUCUUGCCAAUAACUUUUUUCCCUUCUUUCUGAAUCUUUUUUUUUUUUUUGUUCUUUGAGGGUACAAGCUAAUCAACGUGCUGGACGAGCUGGAAGAACACGUCCUGGGAAGUGUUACCGUUUAUACCCAUCCAGGGUUUACAAUGAUGAUUUCCUUGAUGUAACAGUUCCUGAAAUACAGCGAUCUUCUCUUGCUGGCAGUGUUCUUUAUCUAAAGUCAUUGGACCUCCCUGAUAUUGAUAUUCUGAAGUUUGAUUUUCUUGACCCCCCUUCUAGUAAGAAUGCAUUCUUAUUGUGUUCAAUUUUGUUAUGGCAUAAAGAAAGAACAAGCAUUUGAGUUGUCACUGUUUAAAAUUUUCAUUCUGUCAAUAUCUAUAUUUUACAGUUUCUGAUGAUGUUUCUCUUUAGAAUUGAGGUAUUGAUUAAAUAUUUGGUUUAACUUUAGCCGAGUCAUUAGAAGAUGCUCUAAAGCAACUAUAUCUGAUUGAUGCCAUUGAUGAAAAUGGAUCGAUAACUAGUAUUGGGCGAACAAUGGCCGGUAAGCUUUCAAACUUGCUUUCCAAGUAUUACCAUGCUUACCAAGUAUGUUGGCAUUAGUUGAUAAAUGCAUGCUUAAUUUGGUAGCAGUUGCUGGGUUUUUUUUUUUUUUUUGGCCUCAGUUGUGGUUAUGAUUUCUAUGGAUGUAGCACCUGAAACUGGGACCUUGGUAGAUAUGAAUUUGAGUACUGUCAACUUCCUUGUGAUCAAUUACCAACCCUUUUCAUGGAAGUAAACUCAAAAUGGCCAUCUUCUUUGAUUCUUAAUUAACUCAUGUCUUGAGCUAGAAAGCAUGAGCUACUACUGUCUAUUACCAUGCUAAGGAAUUGUAUUUUCCUGGAAUGAAACUAGCCCUUUUCAUUGGUUCUCAGUUAACUCAUGUCUCAAACUAGAAAACAUGAGUUCCUGUCUAUUAAGAUGUUAAGGAAUUUUAUUUACCAGGAAUGACCUUGGAAGAUAUGAAUUUGGGUGCAGUCAACUUCCUGGUGAUCAAUUACAAGCCCUUUUCAUGAAACCUGAUUCAGAAUGGCCACCUUCAUUGAUUCCUAGUUAACUCAUGUCAAGAAUUGGCAAGCAUGAGUUACUGUCUAUUAUAAUACUAAUGAAUUUUAUGUACCUUUAAAUACUUUUUGUCUUGGUUAAUCGCUAUUCUUUGUGGCAUUUAUCUUAAUGACUUGUAUGCAUAAAAUAAUAUUAUUAGUGUUUUCUUCCCUGUCUGAAACUGCUCUACUUUGCAUGUGUGCUCACUGCACAACUUAUUUGUAUGCAGAGCUCCCAUUGGAACCUUCACUUUCGAGAACCUUAAUUGAGGCAAAUGAAUAUGGUUGCUUAUCCCAGGCUCUGACUGUUGCGGCCAUGUUAUCAGCCGAAACAAAUUUGCUUCCUGGUCGAAGGUUAUUUCAUUGAAAGUGUUUAUGAGAUUGUCUAUUAUAAAGAUGGCGACUACAGCUUUUCCUAUUAUCUUUAACUUCCAGGCAGCUAGUUGAACUUAAAUGUUCCCUAAACUGUACAAAUUGUAAUUUGUAGCUACUGCAUGCUGAUGUAGUACCUUAUUUGGCAAAACCAAAAACUUUUAGGUCAUUUAUGUGUUUGGUCUAGUAUCCCCAGUUCUUCAAGUUUUCUUCAAGACUCAUUUGAUUAACUGGAAGGAAAAUGAAAUUACUUCAUUUUAUUUUGACAGAUCUGAUUUUUGGGGGAUGGGUGGUUGGGGGCUAAUGAUAUCCAAAUUCCAUCAAAAUGAAGUCUGUAUUUCCAUAUUUGCAAAGUUGUUUUUCACUUCUAAUGCUUAAUGAUAGUUUGUAAUGGGAAAUAACUUAAAAUUUUCUCUUACUGCAGCAAGAAUAAUGAGAAGAAAAGAAAAUACCCUCCUUUGGAACUUCCUGAUGGUUCUGGUUUUGGUGAUCACAUCCAGUUGUUACAGAUCUAUGAAUGCUGGGAUGAAAAUAAUUACGAUAUUGGUUGGUGCAAAGAUUAUGACUUACAGGUAUGCUUCUUAUCUCCCAAUUGAGAAAACAUGCAUUUAGAAACAGUAAGACAUUAGGCAUGUCAUUCCGAUUGUUUAAUCCUUUUCUUGGAACAAUGAUAAAAAUCUGCCUCAAGUACUUGAUGCGCGUGCAUAACAUGUCAUUCUAUUUUCAGAUGGAUCUUUCUGUGAUUAGCAGAAGUGCCCUGGAUUUUCUGGAUACAUUAAUGACGGAAUAUCUUUGAUAUUAUUCUCAUGCUAAAUAUGAAUAACAUAUUUGGAACAACUAAUUUUAGGUGCGAGGAAUGAUGUUUGUCAAAGAAGUUCGAAAGCAGCUAUCGCAGAUAAUGCAGAAGAUAGCAAAAGGUCAGCAUUGAUUUGACUUAGCGGCGAUUUUUGGAGAUUUUGCCUUUGUUAAUUUGACUUGGCUUUACUUUGCAUAUUUACGACUCAAUAUUCAACCAGAAGUAGAUGUGUUUGAUGCUAUGUUUUCUAAACCAGACCGGUGGUCAAACUGGUCAGGCCGCCAGUCCGAUUAAAAAACUAUUAAAAUUUAAAAAAAAUUAAAAAAUACCGGUUCAACCUGUGUACCUAUUCCCGGUCUAACCGGUUCAAAGCCACUUUCUAGAUUGCCCCCCCGGCCGGUUCCCAGUCCAACCAGUCUGACCAGCUGGUGUGGUCCUGUUCAAACAACAUUGGUUUGAUGUCCUUGCCCUUCUGCACCCUUAAGUCCGGUUCCCAGAGAAGAGAUUUAUGCUUGAAAUAGUAUCUUGGGGGCAUAGUAGCCUUCUAUGUUACUCGGACUUGAUUUUGUGUAUUGGGUGUGGGUAUGUUUUCUAAGAGGGUGUGCUUAAUCUUUUUUUUCUAAGUUUUCUGUGUAUUUGAAGUGUUUUUGGAGGGUCAUAUCUCGAUACCCAUAUUCGGAUGUGCAUCAGACAGAUGUUUGAUAUGGGAAUAGAGUCAGAGCAUUGUAAGUAGCCUUAGCUUCCCAAUCCAAAGUAGAUAAACAUUAUUGAAAAAUUCCUGCACGUCUUUCUUCAGAAAUUUUGCACUCAUUAACCCAGUCUCCCUGUCUUUUCCAUUUUCCUUCUACCUCGAAGUUUCUUUAUUGCUGUAACGACUUAUGCAUCUGAAAAACAGGGUCCUCAGAUGUACAAGUAAAUCAAAGUCAGAAAAGACGCCAGAGUUAUAGGAAUUUGAGGAAAGCAUUGUCCAUUGGCUUUGCAAGUCAGCUUGCUGAGCGGAUGAGGCAUCAUAAUGGCUUUCGAACACUGGGUUUUAAGCCCCAACUAGUGCAGGUAUCAAUUUUUAAUAAUUUAACCUUGUGGUAGUUUUAUUGCUUGAGAGAGCAUCAUAUGGAUUAGGUGGCUACAAUUCCUUGGUUUAAAAUUGGGUUUGAAGAAAUACAUAGAUACCAAAGAAAAUUUGAACAUUAUCCAGUUUAGAUUAUGAAAAGCUGUAGCAUUGAGCAUCAAAGUUUGAAACAAUUGAUGAAUCUUGAUCUUUCAAGUAUAUUGUUGUCCAACUGUCACUAAAAGCAAUUGUUGUUGAUGCUAGGUGCAUCCUUCCUCUGUGCUAAAGCCAGAUGAUGAUGGAUUAUAUCCAAAUUAUGUUGUCUACCACGAACUUAUUGCUACCUCACGCCCAUAUAUGCGGAAUGUGUGUGCUGUAGAGCGUCAAUGGGUGAUUCCAAUUUUAGAGAAACUUGACAAACUUGAUGUCAGGAAAUUAAGGUAAAUCAGAUUUGAGACUUAUAUAAAGAUAAUGCUCUUGUUUUCUGAUCUAAGACUAAGCACAUAGUUCUAUCAAAAAAGAUUUAAGCACAUAGUUUGGCUUUAACAUUUUUCUUUUUUCAUGAAGUGGUGGUGGAUUGGGUCAUGUAGAAGAGAUAACUGAGGGAAACACGUCAGACUUACUGAAGAAGGAAGCUGUCAUCGUUACAGCUCCAGAAGAGCAGGAAAGUAAAAUUCAGGCAGCAAGGGAACGUUUUCUUGCUCGCAAGGGAAAGAAAUGAGGUCGGGUAUUAUGUGUUAACAGAUCAGUGCAGUGAGAGCUGCUUGAUUACUCAGUGGACAUUCCAAUUUUCAAAAUUGUUGGUGGGACUGAGAAUCAUGUGCGUUUUGAUUUUCCAGUUCCCACUAUCUAUUCUAUAGCACUUUGCUGAUGGCAUGUGAGCUUUAUACUUUCCUUGAUGCUUAUAGAGGACGUUGUUAAAUGAGAGUGUGGCCACGAUAUGCGUUGGUGGGACGCAAGAUUACGCUCUUUAUUCCUUCAGACAAAUCACAAGAGUUUGGAUGUGAUUCUUGAUUAAUCUAUAUAACCUUAUAAUUUGAAUAUAUCACUUGCCUCCACAGAUGAAACUGAAGGAGGGAUAAAGGCUAGCAUUGCCCUGAACUUGUACCCAAAGGUCAAAUUUACCGUUCUCCUCAUAUAUAGUUGUACUCUGGAAGUGUUUACCCCCAUUUGUUUUAAUACAGUUAAUUUUAAUGACAGAAAAGACGAAUGUUUGAUGAUUGUAUUUUUAUUUUCAUGAUUGAAUGCAUGUUGAAUACUAGAUUUUACCAAAAAAAAAUGUUGGUUAGUAUAAAGUAGGUUUUUUUAAUGCUUUUUUUUGGGGGAUAACUUGUUCAAAUUCAAUACUUGUGUUGUGAGUGAGGAAAAUAAGCAGUCCUAAUUUAAAAGACUUAGCUGGUUUUGUGAGGCCAAGGUUUUUUGAUAGCUGCUGGUGCUGCCUAAAGGUAAACUACAUGAAUAAAUCGAAUUAAUUUCUAAUUUCGUUCAACAAACUUAUUUUAUUAAUUCCUCUAAUCACAGUGCAAGGAGUUGGUGGAUGGAGAACGUGGGUUAAUCUUUGGGGGUAAACUCCAUAUUCCCUAAGCAAAUUUUAUAUUCAGGAUAGAGAAGAGAUACUACGUGGGAACCCUAGGAAACUGUCCCUUUACCAUUCCGCCUUGCUACUACUACACCAUUCGGCAAUGCGGCCGGUCAAUUGAGACCAUCAGUGAAUUCUCCUUUCCCUCACUCUCCAGUUAGUCUUUCCUGAAUUCAAGUCUUAAGUCUCGAUUCUCUUGUGUUUUCUUGGCUGAAACAUGUUACUGCUCGAAUAUCUAGUUGAGGGUCUCGAGUGACAAAGUUUAGACUACAGCCGAAAGUUUCUUUGUUUUUUUGGUGGCCGAUUGUAUGGCCGUUGAACAAAUGAUCAUCAUACCCCCAUUGCCCUUGGUAGUCUCCCUGAAGCGGAUUUUGGUCAUUUAUUUCGGUAGGAAGUGGACAGGUCAUGGAAUAAUAAUCUUUCUAUGGUCCAUGGCUUGAGUCAUGCUUCGAUGUCAUGCGAUGAUAGUCACGACGCUCUAGUCUUGUGGUGACUUGAUUUUUCUAAUUUUUAGUGGCAUUUUCUGUUGAAUUUUCACGGGAACUCAAUUUUGGUUGGGUUCCCAUUGAAUUUUUGUUGUUUUAGGUUAAAGAAGUUUCCACUUCCAUGACAGCAAGGAUGUGUAUAAAGACUCACAACAUCAAGGGUCUGCCUCCUUACGGCUGAGAGUGUUGGGUUCAUGUUGUUAUUGGCGGGUAAGACUGAUUCAGGCAAUGGAAAUCCUUUUCUCUUUAAUAGAGUGGUAGGUUUUACUUGUCUUUGGAGACUGUCUUGUAUGAGGCAUAGAUUUUCAACAGUUUUCUCCGCUUUUUAUAGUUGGACCAGUUUGGUUUUGUUUCUAGUUCGUGGCUGCUACAUUGCUAUAUAGGCAGGUCUCCUAUGCCUACCCAGGUCUACAAUAUAGCUCAACCGGUGUCUUUAUGUAAUGAUGAUAACUUUAAAAAGUUUCUUUAGUAACAAAGAUUGAUUGCAACAAGUGAAAAAGUCUCAAAAAAAAUUGUCCCACCCAAUUACUGGACAAGGUAUUAGUGGCUUUUGCCACCCAACCCAUCACCAGAUAACAGUGACGAAAGGACACAUACACACCAUGAGACACCGUCCAAAAUUUCAUUAACAAUGGCAUCCCGCUCCAUGAUGCAAUAUAAAUCUAUGCUGCACUUGAAAUUCAGUGAAAUAGAUAAUUGAGUGGGAAAUCGAUCCGUCAGUGAAUGGUGAAAAGGGUAGAAUCUAGGAUUUGUUAGUGCUAAAUUUGGUCCACCAUGCAUUUUUGUUUUCUACUGACGCAUGGAAGCAUUGGGACCCCAAAAGCACUCUCACUGCCUGUUUAUUGUAUCCAUGCCAAUGCCUCUUUCCCAAAACGAGGAUCCUCCACCAGCAUUUUUUUUUCAAAUAUUCGGCUGUUCCAAAGAAAAUAGUAUUAUAUAUUUUCAUUGGAGUUCUUUUUCUUUUAAGUUACAAGUUACACAUUCGUUUUUGAUGGAUGUAAAUAUUUAUUUUUAUUACUAAUGCUUUUAUACUGUUUAUCUUGGUUACAACACUUCUUGAUGAACCACUCCAUAACAUGGGAUGCUCUUGAUAUGCAAUAGCGUGCAUAAUUCUGAAUUACUUAAAAAUGUUGUUGGAAAUACAUGCAACUAUGUAAAAGUUGUGUAACUAACCUUCAAAAGUUUGUUUUUGUUUUGUUCCGUCAUAUUCCAAGAUUUCCGCCGUCUUUUGUAGUAGUUGUGUGGUUUCUGAUUUGGGCUUGGUGCGCUGAUGGCUGACCUGUUUGGGGUGGCUCGAAUUUUCAGAUUCCUCCGGCGUCUCCCGGCUAGCGGUUGGUGAUGCUUGGCUCUUUCUCAAAACGUGCUUUAUUGUUUUUCUCCCUUUCUUGUAAACAAAGUUUCUAGUAAAAAUGAAAGCCAUUCGGUAAUGAAGAUCAUACGCACUAAUGUUUUUCAUUAGUGGAAAACAUUAAUGCUAACACCUAUGCGAAUGGUAAUGACCCCUCCUCUGUUUAUGCUUUUAGAAGAGUUGACCUCUUAUGUUUGGGAUCCUGGUUGUUUGGAGUCAUUGUUGUACUGUAUUUUGAUUGUGUUUAUUUUAUGAAGUGAACCUUUUUUUCAUCCAAACAAAAAACCUUUAAAGGGUUGGCAAGAUUCCUAAAUUACUCCAUUAUUGAAAUGUCUUAGAAAGUGUGAUUUAGAGACUUAGAAUAUGGAUAUUGUUAAAAUGUACACUUUUAACCUUACAUUUCCAUGAAGCACGUGUUUUCCUCCUAGUUAAACAAAAGGUACUCUUGUAUUUAAACAUACAAGUAACACUUUGUUUAUUAGAAAUAAUACCUGAGUGAAACUUUCAUGUAAUUUGUACUAUUUAUUAAGUGUUUUAUUGAGUUAGUGUUGCCCUUAGUCGAAUCACCAACUCGGUUAGGAAAAUUAUAAAAAUGCCCUUUUGUAAUUAAAAUAGGUUAUACUAUUUGAGGGUAUUUUAGUCUUUUCAUUUAAACAAAAACCAAUAAAAAUAUGGUGGGAUUUGAACCCACACCAAUUGUAUUAAUAAAAUUUUAAAUUUACCCCUCAACCAAAGUUUUGUUUUAAUGUUGUCGUACGUUUUUAUUUUAAUAUGCGCA
rnacentral:lncRNA from 1 species